rnacentral:rRNA from 1 species
UACGUAGGGUGCAAGCGUUGUCCGGAAUUAUUGGGCGUAAAGAGCUCGUAGGCGGCUUGUCGCGUCUGCUGUGAAAACUCGGGGCUUAACUCCGGGCCUGCAGUGGGUACGGGCAGACUAGAGUGCGGUAGGGGAGACUGGAAUUCCUGGUGUAGCGGUGAAAUGCGCAGAUAUCAGGAGGAACACCGGUGGCGAAGGCGGGUCUCUGGGCCGAUACUGACGCUGAGGAGCGAAAGCGUGGGGAGCAAACAGG